UCCGCUUGUUCGUGCAGACAACACAUUUCAGUGUUGGUAUAUAGGUAUAGUGAAUAUAUGUUUUAAGUUUAUCUAUAAAUUCCAUAUUCCACGUUCUUUCUUUUAAAUAAAGCAAAAUAUGAUCCACUUCGAUUAUUCUUAAUUUUGUGAUUUUUUUCAUUACAAGUGCGAAAUUUCGGAUCUCGCGAUUGAAAUGAUUCAAUGAUUCUUUCAAAAUUUUCAUAACACGACAGUUAUUUUAUAGGAUGAGCCAUUGCCGCCCCAGGAAUUAUUGCUAAACGUUGGUGCAAUUUCAAUGAUUCUUUCAAAUUUGGAUAGCGCGAGAGUCAAUUUAUACGAUGCGGCCCUGCCGCCCCCUAAAAUCACACUAGAAAUUAAAAAUCGCUCUAAAACUUUUACUAUUUUAAUUAAUUAUCGAAACACGCGGUUGAAAUUUUGGCUGUAUCUCGCGAACCGUCUGUGCAAUUGCAUUGAUUUGUUGCUAAUUUUUGUGUUUUUCGAAAACAUUCGAUGGAAAGUGCGCUGUAUUUCGCUAAUCGUUUUAGAUAUUUGCAUGAUUUUUUCAUUAUUAGAAAGUGCGAGAGCCAUUCUUUUCAAAGCGUAUUAGCAAUCGUGGAAAAUCUUGCGGGAACACCCUAUAGAAAUUCUUGAAAAUUGCUAUUUUUUUAUUCGAAAACACGCGGUGGAAAUUGAGCUGUAUCGCGCGAAUUGUUUUAGACAUUUGCAUGACUUUUUGACGAUUUGAAAGUACGAGAGCCAUUCUUUUCAACGUGUAUCAGCAAUCCUCGAAAAUCUUGCGGGAACACCCUGUAAAAUAUUCUUGAAAAUUGCUAAUUUUUGUGUUUUUCGAAAACAUGCGGUGGAAAUUACGCUGUAUCUCUCUAAUCGUGUAGAUAUUUGCAUGAUUUUUUCACGAUUUGAAAGUGCGAGAGCCAUUCUUUACAACGCUUAUCAGCAAUCGUCGAAAAUCUUGUGGGGAUACCUUGUAAAAGAUUCUUGAAAAUUGAUAAUUUUCGUGUUCUUUAAUAACACGCGGUGGAAAUUGCGCUGAAUUUCGGGAAUUGUUUUUAAUUGUCAACAACUGAAAUAAAUGUUUUUUGAUUUUUCUUUAGGUAGUAACGUUGUCUGCGGAAAUGGUUUAUCGACGUUAUGAUUCAUCCGAGAUCAAUUCAACGCCAUUUAUCCUUGCGGGAUUCACCAGAAAUUUGCAAAUUUCGAUGUCCUAAGAUGUUAGAGGAAUAACCUUCAGGUUCCUUGACAACAUGUUAUUAAACAUUAAAAUAAUCAAGUUUUUGACGCUGUGAAGAAAACUGAAAAAGGAUGAAGAAGAAUAAUUGGUCGUUGUCUGACAGGGGAAUGGAGCUCGAUUAGUACCAACUCUAUAUUUGUCCUGCAUAGUAUUCCGGAAGGUAGGAGAUGAACAGAAGAAAUGUGACCUGUCCUUAACAAAAUUUAUUUGUACAUGAUUAAAAUAAGUGAGGAAAGUUCUAUAUUGCUGAAAAACAGCGCUAAAUUUAAUACGCUCAGAAAUUGAAUCCGCGCAAGUCUUAUAGUCUUGUUGCAUUGUUUCAAACACUUGAAAAUUUAUUAUUUGUUGAAAACAAUGCAUAACGUGUGUUAAAAUGUGAUAUGAUUUAGAAAGACAGCGCAAGAUUUGCAAAACUUAUGUAACAAAUUUUAUUCAAACAGCGGUGACAUCGCAAGAAUAUUGUUCUUAAUUUAAUUUACCUUCUUGAGAAAAUAGAGCAUGUCGCAUUCUCAUACUAUAAUUAAGGCGUCCUAAUUUGCGAUUUAUAUUUAAUAAGACCAGAAAUAUGUAUUAAUUUGUAUUAUUAUUGUAAUAUGUGCUACGGUCUGUGAUAAAUGUGCACGCAUUUUCUGUUAUCAUAUUAGAAUUAAGUAGAUAAGUGUAUAUUGUAGGUAUUUGUGUGUUGUGUCAUCUUUUGUUACAUAUGUCGUAGAAAUUAUGUAGACUUAUUUGAAUAUGUUGAUCUAGUAGCUGUAAUGGUAGUACUUAGUAGUAAUAUCAAGUAAGACAUGGCCGUCUUGUGCGUAAAGUUAAAUGUGCAUUGCUCUUCCGUUGUUAAUUUACGUUGUGAUUUUGAUUGUACCUUGUGUUAUUUGUGUAGACGUUAGGAACUUGUUUUGAUUUGUAAAUGUAUCGUAUUGUCCAAGUCAUUUGUGUUGUGUUUUUAAAUGUACUAAUAAUGUAAAGUUAUAUUUGUCUUAUACUGUAUAUUGUGUUUGUAAUUGUAACUUGUGUUAUGUUAAAUGUAGUAUUAAAUUUGCAUGUUUCUAGUGUUGUCUACGAAUUGAAUAUUGUGUUAUUGUCUACUAGAUGUGUUGUUUUAUUGUUGUCUAUUUGUGUACCAAUGUGUUGUGAUCUGUUUUGAAAUGUAAUUAAAGCAAGUAAUUAUUGUUACGAAAUUUGAAAA